GAUGAACGCUGGCGGCGUGCCUAAUACAUGCAAGUCGAGCGAACAGACGAGGAGCUUGCUCCUCUGACGUUAGCGGCGGACGGGUGAGUAACACGUGGAUAACCUACCUAUAAGACUGGGAUAACUUCGGGAAACCGGAGCUAAUACCGGAUAAUAUAUUGAACCGCAUGGUUCAAUAGUGAAAGACGGUUUUGCUGUCACUUAUAGAUGGAUCCGCGCCGCAUUAGCUAGUUGGUAAGGUAACGGCUUACCAAGGCAACGAUGCGUAGCCGACCUGAGAGGGUGAUCGGCCACACUGGAACUGAGACACGGUUCAGACUCCUACGAGAGGCAGCAGUAGGGAAUCUUCCGCAAUGGGCGAAAGCCUGACGGAGCAACGCCGCGUGAGUGAUGAAGGUCUUCCGAUCGUAAAACUCUGUUAUUAGUGAAGAACAAAUGUGUAAGUAACUAUGCACGUCUUGACGGUACCUACUCAGAAAGCCACGGCUAACUACGUG
rnacentral:rRNA from 1 species